AGUCAACCUGCCCUAGGGACGUGGAAAACGUCGGGAAACUGACGAUAAACCGCGAUAGGUCAUGGCUUCUGGAAUGGGCUUUGGCUCAAACCUAUAUGGCCCUAGGAUGGGACUGCGGCCGAUCAGGUUGUUGGUGGGGUAAAGGCCCACCAAGCCUAUAACCGGUACGGGCUCUGAGAGGAGGAGCCCGGAGAUGGACACUGAGACAAGGGUCCAGGUCCUAUGGGACGCAGCAGGCGCGAAACCUUCGCAAUAGGCGAAAGCCUGACGAGGUUACCCCGAGUGUUUCCUGCUAAAGGAAUCUUUUGUCAGCUCUACAAAUGCUGGCGAAUAAGGGGUGGGCAAGUCUGGUGUCAGCCGCCGCGGUAAUACCAGCACCCCGAGUGGUCAGGAUGAUUAUUUGGCCUAAAGCAUCCAUAGCCGGCUCCGUAAGUCUUCCGUUAAAUCCACCUGCUCAACAGUUGGGCUGCGGGAGAUACUGCGGAGCUAGGAGGCGGGAGAGGCGAGGGGUAUUCCUUGGGUAGGGGUAAAAUCCUCUGAUCCAUGGAGGACCACCAGUGGCGAAGGCGUCUCGCCAGAACGCGCUCGACGGUGAGGGAUGAAAGCUGGGGGAGCAAACCGGAUUAGAUACCCGGGUAGUCCCAGCUGUAAACGAUGUAGGCUCGGUGAUGGGUUGCCUUUGGGGCAAUCCAGUGCCGCAGGGAAGCCGUUAAGCCUACCGCCUGGGGAGUACGGUCGCAAGACUGAAACUUAA
rnacentral:rRNA from 1 species